rnacentral:rRNA from 1 species
AGAGUUUGAUCCUGGCUCAGGACGAACGCUGGCGGCGUGCCUAAUACAUGCAAGUAGAACGCUGAAGAGAGGAGCUUGCUCUUCUUGGAUGAGUUGCGAACGGGUGAGUAACGCGUAGGUAACCUGCCUUGUAGCGGGGGAUAACUAUUGGAAACGAUAGCUAAUACCGCAUAACAAUGGAUGACACAUGUCAUUUAUUUGAAAGGGGCAAUUGCUCCACUACAAGAUGGACCUGCGUUGUAUUAGCUAGUAGGUGAGGUAAUGGCUCACCUAGGCGACGAUACAUAGCCGACCUGAGAGGGUGAUCGGCCACACUGGGACUGAGACACGGCCCAGACUCCUACGGGAGGCAGCAGUAGGGAAUCUUCGGCAAUGGGGGCAACCCUGACCGAGCAACGCCGCGUGAGUGAAGAAGGUUUUCGGAUCGUAAAGCUCUGUUGUAAGUCAAGAACGGGUGUGAGAGUGGAAAGUUCACACUGUGACGGUAGCUUACCAGAAAGGGACGGCUAACUACGUGCCAGCAGCCGCGGUAAUACGUAGGUCCCGAGCGUUGUCCGGAUUUAUUGGGCGUAAAGCGAGCGCAGGCGGUUUGAUAAGUCUGAAGUUAAAGGCUGUGGCUCAACCAUAGUUCGCUUUGGAAACUGUCAAACUUGAGUGCAGAAGGGGAGAGUGGAAUUCCAUGUGUAGCGGUGAGAUGCGUAGAUAUAUGGAGGAACACCGGUGGCGAAAGCGGCUCUCUGGUCUGUAACUGACGCUGAGGCUCGAAAGCGUGGGGAGCGAACAGGAUUAGAUACCCUGGUAGUCCACGCCGUAAACGAUGAGUGCUAGGUGUUGGAUCCUUUCCGGGAUUCAGUGCCGCAGCUAACGCAUUAAGCACUCCGCCUGGGGAGUACGACCGCAAGGUUGAAACUCAAAGGAAUUGACGGGGGCCCGCACAAGCGGUGGAGCAUGUGGUUUAAUUCGAAGCAACGCGAAGAACCUUACCAGGUCUUGACAUCCCGAUGCUAUUUCUAGAGAUAGAAAGUUACUUCGGUACAUCGGUGACAGGUGGUGCAUGGUUGUCGUCAGCUCGUGUCGUGAGAUGUUGGGUUAAGUCCCGCAACGAGCGCAACCCCUAUUGUUAGUUGCCAUCAUUCAGUUGGGCACUCUAGCGAGACUGCCGGUAAUAAACCGGAGGAAGGUGGGGAUGACGUCAAAUCAUCAUGCCCCUUAUGACCUGGGCUACACACGUGCUACAAUGGUUGGUACAACGAGUUGCGAGUCGGUGACGGCGAGCUAAUCUCUUAAAGCCAAUCUCAGUUCGGAUUGUAGGCUGCAACUCGCCUACAUGAAGUCGGAAUCGCUAGUAAUCGCGGAUCAGCACGCCGCGGUGAAUACGUUCCCGGGCCUCGUACACACCGCCCGUCACACCACGAGAGUUUGUAACACCCGAAGUCGGUGAGGUAACCUUUUGGAGCCAGCCGCCUAAGGUGGGACAGAUGAUUGGGGUGAAGUCGUAACAAGGUA